CUUUCCAUUUUCUCAAUCUUAAUUUUAUUCAUAAUCCAGACGAAAACAUAAACCGAAAACAUAGGACGAUUGAGGCGUGUUGGGUAAUUUUCUUUUAUUGGUGGCACCCUUAGGCGUAGCUUUUGGGUCAUUCAGUAGUAGCCGCGGCUCGCAUAGGUGAGAAUCAUAAUUCACCACUCUCUGUUCUGCAAUGGCCAAGAUCGAAGAACUGAACGAGUCCGUGGCUAAAUCAAGAACCAAGAGGAAUCACGUCUCAACCAGAUUCUUCGUCUUUGUUGAUUACCUUUUCAUUUUGAUCUUCCUUGGAUUCCUCUGCUUCAUCAUUUUCAAGAUUCUCGGCAUUUGAUUCGAUUCGAUUCCCAAUCCCCCGUGCUUUCUGAGCUAGGAUAUUCGUGUGACAUAGUUAUGAUUCCAUUACAGACCUAGGUACAAGCUUGAAGGCAGGGUCAACUAGCAAGUACAAUUUUUUUCUCAGAUCUUAUGUUGUAAAACUUGAAUUUUCUCAGAUCCAGUUUUCCUCUAAAAACUUUACACUGUUCAUUUUCCCUA